GUGGACCUGCUUUCAGUGACGACGACGUUGUACUUUGACGUGGUUGCUACGUUUCUGCCAAUUUGCCCACUCGGGUUGCGGCAAACUUGGUGACGAGAAAUACGUAACUGGUGGUCCCUUCAGCCACGACACAAGCGCUGGCAGUGCAACAGCCCGGCGGAGGUGUGUCCAUCGUGCACGUGUCUAUCCCCAACCAGCCCAUGCACGUACAGUCAGUGAUACAGCCCAACCAGCAGUCCGUGAUUCAGGCCGCUGGAGGGGCAGCUGCCCUGCAGACAUUGGGCAAGAAUGUCAUAUUGGUAAAUAAGGGCUCAGUGAUCCACAGUGCCGACGGUGAUGCUGGCGUCCACCCUGUCCAGGUAACACCGCCUGGACUUGCAAAACAUGCGCUUUUGUCAUCCUAAACGCU
rnacentral:lncRNA from 1 species